GAUGAACGCUAGCUACAGGCUUAACACAUGCAAGUCGAGGGGCAGCAUGGUCUUAGCUUGCUAAGGCCGAUGGCGACCGGCGCACGGGUGAGUAACACGUAUCCAACCUGCCGUCUACUCUUGGACAGCCUUCUGAAAGGAAGAUUAAUACAAGAUGACAUCAUGAGUUCACAUGUUCACAUGAUUAAAGGUAUUCCGGUAGACGAUGGGGAUGCGUUCCAUUAGAUAGUAGGCGGGGUAACGGCCCACCUAGUCUUCGAUGGAUAGGGGUUCUGAGAGGAAGGUCCCCCACAUUGGAACUGAGACACGGUCCAAACUCCUACGGGAGGCAGCAGUGAGGAAUAUUGGUCAAUGGGCGAGAGCCUGAACCAGCCAAGUAGCGUGAAGGAUGACUGCCCUAUGGGUUGUAAACUUCUUUUAUAAAGGAAUAAAGUCGGGUAUGCAUACCCGUUUGCAUGUACUUUAUGAAUAAGGAUCGGCUAACUCCGUGCCAGCAGCCGCGGUAAUACGGAGGAUCCGAGCGUUAUCCGGAUUUAUUGGGUUUAAAGGGAGCGUAGAUGGAUGUUUAAGUCAGUUGUGAAAGUUUGCGGCUCAACCGUAAAAUUGCAGUUGAUACUGGAUAUCUUGAGUGCAGUUGAGGCAGGCGGAAUUCGUGGUGUAGCGGUGAAAUGCUUAGAUAUCACGAAGAACUCCGAUUGCGAAGGCAGCCUGCUAAGCUGCAACUGACAUUGAGGCUCGAAAGUGUGGGUAUCAAACAGGAUUAGAUACCCUGGUAGUCCACACGGUAAACGAUGAAUACUCGCUGUUUGCGAUAUACAGCAAGCGGCCAAGCGAAAGCGUUAAGUAUUCCACCUGGGGAGUACGCCGGCAACGGUGAAACUCAAAGGAAUUGACGGGGGCCCGCACAAGCGGAGGAACAUGUGGUUUAAUUCGAUGAUACGCGAGGAACCUUACCCGGGCUUAAAUUGCAGAUGAAUUACGGUGAAAGCCGUAAGCCGCAAGGCAUCUGUGAAGGUGCUGCAUGGUUGUCGUCAGCUCGUGCCGUGAGGUGUCGGCUUAAGUGCCAUAACGAGCGCAACCCUUGUUGUCAGUUACUAACAGGUUCCGCUGAGGACUCUGACAAGACUGCCAUCGUAAGAUGUGAGGAAGGUGGGGAUGACGUCAAAUCAGCACGGCCCUUACGUCCGGGGCUACACACGUGUUACAAUGGGGGGUACAGAGGGCCGCUACCACGCGAGUGGAUGCCAAUCCCAAAAACCUCUCUCAGUUCGGACUGGAGUCUGCAACCCGACUCCACGAAGCUGGAUUCGCUAGUAAUCGCGCAUCAGCCACGGCGCGGUGAAUACGUUCCCGGGCCU
rnacentral:rRNA from 1 species